ensembl:lncRNA
CUUAGUGUGUUUGGACCAUUCUAGUUUGUUGUUGUGGUCACCAAGGAAUUUGAAGCUCUCAACCUGCUCCACUGCAGCCCCGUCGAUGAGAAUGGGGGCGUGCUUGGUCCUCCUUUUUCUGUAGUCCACAAUCAUCUCCUUUAUCUUGAUCACAUUGAGGGAAGAGGUUGUUGCUGCUACCAAACACUUAUUAUGCUGUUCAGUUUAGAAUAAAACGUUAUCGUUGAUUCCUGAGAAUGGUCAAAAUAUUUUUUGCCCAAAAAACUGUGGUAAACUAAAUGUGUAAUAAUCUCCAUGAUAUUCUAGAUAAAGGAAACCGUAAUGUUGGUUUAAUCUUUAAUACAACCCAGUACCUUACAGCCAACUCAUCACAGUCAUAUAGUCAUUGAAAGGUAUAGCUAUGGUAGGUAGGUAGGUAGGUAGGUAGGUAGGUAGGUAGGUAGAGAGGUAUAGCUAUGGUAGGUAGGUAGGUAGAGAGAGAGAGAGGUAUAGCUAUGGUAGGUAGAGAGAGAGAGAGGUAUAGCUAUGGUAGGUAGAGAGAGAGAGGUAUAGCUAUGGUAGGUAGAGAGAGAGAGAGGUAUAGCUAUGGUAGAUAGAGAGAGAGAGGUAUAGCUAUGGUAGAUAGAGAGAGAGAGGUAUAGCUAUGGUAGGUAGAGAGAGAGAGAGGUAUAGCUAUGGUAGGUAGAGAGAGAGAGGUAUAGCUAUGGUAGAUAGAGAGAGAGAGGUAUAGCUAUGGUAGGUAGAGAGAGAGGUAUAGCUAUGGUAGGUAGGUAGAGAGAGGUGUAGCUAUGGUAGGUAGGUAGAGAGAGGUAUAGCUAUGGUAGGUAUAGAGAGUUGUAGCUGGAGCUAAACUGCAACAUCCUGCUAAUUGACCCAUAAAGGAUCUACAAUAGAAGAAGUGAUGUUAUUGGAGCCAGAAGCAGACAGUCAGCACAGCCAGUCGGCUACAGAUCGGGACAUGCACAGCCAUUUAAUAGUUACAUUUGGUGCAUUAUAACCGUGUUCAAGUGUUAAGGUGAACCCCCCCCAUCCCCCUCACUUUGAACACAACUUCCCCUGUACUGCUGUUUGGAAGCAGGCGGAGACUCAGGGAGCAUUGAGUACACCAGGGCCUGGGUUUUGAAAACCUUAAGAAAUGUUUUGUAAAUCCAGGCACUGCAACUUUGGUAUUAGGUAAGAGAAUGGCACAAGGCUGGCUUGAGCAACGAAAGGAAACGAUGUGCAACAACUAGACAGAGACAUGUCCUGAGAAACAGUGUGUGGGCCAUCCUGCCGACUUCAACACGCAUUGUUAGCUUAGCAGACCUGGGACCAGGCAACCAGAGGCAGACCUGGGACCAGGCAACCAGAGGCAGACCUGGGACCAGGCAACCAGAGGCAGACCUGGGACCAGGC